UGGGGAAUAUUGGACAAUGGGCGCAAGCCUGAUCCAGCCAUGCCGCGUGGGUGAAGAAGGCCUUCGGGUUGUAAAGCCCUUUUGUUGGGAAAGAAAAGCAGUCGGUUAAUACCCGAUUGUUCUGACGGUACCCAAAGAAUAAGCACCGGCUAACUUCGUGCCAGCAGCCGCGGUAAUACGAAGGGUGCAAGCGUUACUCGGAAUUACUGGGCGUAAAGCGUGCGUAGGUGGUUUGUUAAGUCUGAUGUGAAAGCCCUGGGCUCAACCUGGGAAUUGCAUUGGAUACUGGCAGGCUGGAGUGCGGUAGAGGGUAGUGGAAUUCCCGGUGUAGCAGUGAAAUGCGUAGAGAUCGGGAGGAACAUCCGUGGCGAAGGCGACUACCUGGACCAGCACUGACACUGAGGCACGAAAGCGUGGGGAGCAAACAGGAUUAGAUACCCUGGUAGUCCACGCCCUAAACGAUGCGAACUGGAUGUUGGGUUCAGUUAGGAACUCAGUAUCGAAGCUAACGCGUUAAGUUCGCCGCCUGGAGAGUACGGUCGCAAGACUGAAACUUAAAUGAAUUGACGGGGUCAUAGCUGUUUCCU
rnacentral:rRNA from 1 species